rnacentral:lncRNA from 1 species
UCUUUUUUUAUCAAGAGCUUAUUCACUGAGAAGGUUCUAUGCAGAAUAGCUGGAAAAAAUCCUAGUGGACAGAAAAGGGAGCAAAAACAUUAGAACAUGAAAAAUAUCAAGAAAUCGAAUGGGACAAACACGUACAAACACGUAAUCAGGACUGACCACGGAAGACAAUCAAAAGCAAAUGACUAAAAUAUUCACAUCAAAAAGUCGAAUAUAAUAUGUAAAAAAACAAAUAAUAAGUUUAUCUGUCUAGUCGGUCUUCUCAUCAUAUUUCGAUUUUUAAUAUUAAAAAAUAUUAAAAAAUUGUUAGUUUCUUUCUCCUGUGCUUCUGACAACACUCAUCCCUUUUAUUUCUUUCUUUCAGUAUUCGCUCAAUAUAAUUCUACUAUUCACUACAUUUUGUUCACAACCUACAAUCCUUGAUCUUUUCAGAUAUGACUUCCCAA